AAACGACUCUCGGCAACGGAUAUCUCGGCUCUCGCAUCGAUGAAGAACGUAGCGAAAUGCGAUACUUGGUGUGAAUUGCAGAAUCCCGUGAACCAUCGAGUCUUUGAGCGCAAGUUGCGCCCGAAGCCUUUAGGCCGAGGGCACGCCUGCCUGGGCGUCACAC
rnacentral:rRNA from 1 species